GUUGUUUUCCAAGGGCUGUAAGCAUGAAAUCACCUGGCCUUGUGCGUAAGACAUCUAUGAAUCGAUCAACCAGAUGUAUACCUCUAAAGAACUGUGAUGACACUGAGGAAAUAUUCUACAAUCUUCACCAUGGUUACUGUUGAAUAGGGAUUUUCACAUAGCAAUUGCUAUACAGUGUAAUGCCAGCAUGUAUGUUUUUCUAAGCAAGCGACAGUGUGUCAAGGCAGAAGCUGUGCAUCUGGACAGGAUGAGAGUGGUUGUUUUCCAAUGGCUGUAAGCAUGAAAUCACCUGGCCUUGUGCGGAAGACAUCUAUGAAUCGAUCAACCAGAUGUAUACCUCUAAAGUGAGUAUUUUGUUUCAGAACUUAUUUGGC